CAGGCUUAACACAUGCAAGUCGAGGGGCAGCAUUUCAGUUUGCUUGCAAACUGGAGAUGGCGACCGGCGCACGGGUGAGUAACACGUAUCCAACCUGCCGAUAACUCGGGGAUAGCCUUUCGAAAGAAAGAUUAAUACCCGAUGGUAUAAUCAGACCGCAUGGUCUUGUUAUUAAAGAAUUUCGGUUAUCGAUGGGGAUGCGUUCCAUUAGGCAGUUGGUGAGGUAACGGCUCACCAAACCUUCGAUGGAUAGGGGUUCUGAGAGGAAGGUCCCCCACAUUGGAACUGAGACACGGUCCAAACUCCUACGGGAGGCAGCAGUGAGGAAUAUUGGUCAAUGGGCGCAGGCCUGAACCAGCCAAGUAGCGUGAAGGAUGACUGCCCUAUGGGUUGUAAACUUCUUUUAUGUGGGAAUAAAGUUUUCCACGUGUGGAAUUUUGUAUGUACCAUAUGAAUAAGGAUCGGCUAACUCCGUGCCAGCAGCCGCGGUAAUACGGAGGAUCCGAGCGUUAUCCGGAUUUAUUGGGUUUAAAGGGAGCGUAGGUGGACAGUUAAGUCAGUUGUGAAAGUUUGCGGCUCAACCGUAAAAUUGCAGUUGAUACUGGCUGUCUUGAGUACAGUAGAGGUGGGCGGAAUUCGUGGUGUAGCGGUGAAAUGCUUAGAUAUCACGAAGAACUCCGAUUGCGAAGGCAGCUCACUGGACUGCAACUGACACUGAUGCUCGAAAGUGUGGGUAUCAAACAGGAUUAGAUACCCUGGUAGUCCACACAGUAAACGAUGAAUACUCGCUGUUUGCGAUAUACAGUAAGCGGCCAAGCGAAAGCAUUAAGUAUUCCACCUGGGGAGUACGCCGGCAACGGUGAAACUCAAAGGAAUUGACGGGGGCCCGCACAAGCGGAGGAACAUGUGGUUUAAUUCGAUGAUACGCGAGGAACCUUACCCGGGCUUAAAUUGCAUUUGAAUAUAUUGGAAACAGUAUAGCCGUAAGGCAAAUGUGAAGGUGCUGCAUGGUUGUCGUCAGCUCGUGCCGUGAGGUGUCGGCUUAAGUGCCAUAACGAGCGCAACCCUUAUCUUUAGUUACUAACAGGUCAUGCUGAGGACUCUAGAGAGACUGCCGUCGUAAGAUGUGAGGAAGGUGGGGAUGACGUCAAAUCAGCACGGCCCUUACGUCCGGGGCUACACACGUGUUACAAUGGGGGGUACAGAAGGCAGCUACCUGGUGACAGGAUGCUAAUCCCAAAAGCCUCUCUCAGUUCGGAUCGAAGUCUGCAACCCGACUUCGUGAAGCUGGAUUCGCUAGUAAUCGCGCAUCAGCCAUGGCGCGGUGAAUACGUUCCCGGGCCUUGUACACACCGCCCGUCAAGCCAUGAAAGCCGGGGGUACCUGAAGUACGUAACCGCAAGGAGCGUCCUAGGGUAAAACUGGUAAUUGG
rnacentral:rRNA from 1 species